rnacentral:rRNA from 1 species
UACGAAGGGUGCUAGCGUUGCUCGGAAUUACUGGGCGUAAAGCGCACGUAGGCGGCUUUCUAAGUCGGGGGUGAAAUCCUGGAGCUCAACUCCAGAACUGCCUUCGAUACUGGAAAGCUCGAGUCCGGGAGAGGUGAGUGGAACUGCGAGUGUAGAGGUGAAAUUCGUAGAUAUUCGCAAGAACACCAGUGGCGAAGGCGGCUCACUGGCCCGGUACUGACGCUGAGGUGCGAAAGCGUGGGGAGCAAACAGG